rnacentral:rRNA from 1 species
GUGCCAGCCGCCGCGGUAAUACGGAAGGGGCAAGCGUUGUUCGGAAUCAUUGGGCGUAAAGGGCGCGUAGGUGGUCUUGUAUGUCUACCGUGAAAGCGUACGGCUCAACCGUAUUUAGUCGGUAGAAACUGCAGGACUUGAGGCUGGGAGGGGCUGGUGGAAUUCCCUGUGUAGCGGUGAAAUGCGUAGAGAUGGGGGAGAACACUCGUGGCGAAGGCGGCCAGCUGGACCAGUUCUGACACUGAGGCGCGAUAGCGUGGGGAGCAAACAGGAUUAGAAACCCGGGUAGUCC